rnacentral:rRNA from 1 species
AAGUCGAACGAGAAAAUCCGGCUUCGGUUGGAUGAGUACAGUGGCGAACGGGUGAGUAACACGUGGGCAAUCUUCCCUUAAAUCUGGGAUAACCCUUCGAAAGGAGGCCUAAUACCGGAUAACACUGUCGGGCGGCAUCGUCUGACAGUCAAAGACGGAGCAAUCUGCCGUUUAAGGAUGAGCCCGCGUCCCAUUAGCUUGUUGGCGGGGUAACGGCCCACCAAGGCUGCGAUGGGUAGCCGACCUGAGAGGGUGACCGGACACACUGGGACUGAGAUACGGCCCAGACUCCUACGGGAGGCAGCAGUAGGGAAUUGUUCGCAAUGGGCGCAAGCCUGAUUUUUUAACGCCGCGUGGAGGAUGAAGACCUUCGGGUCGUAAACUCCUUUCGACCGAGAAGAAUGGCCUCCGACCUAAUACGUCGGAGGCAUGACGGUAUCGAGGGAAGAAGCCCCGGCUAACUCUGUGCCAGCAGCCGCGGUAA